AGACAUGCAGUCGUACGGAUGUAGCAUACAUCAGUGGCGAACGGGUGAGUAAUGUAUCGCUAAUGURCCCCGGACUCUGGGAUAGCUAUCCGAAAGGGUAGGUAAUACCAGAUGAUGUAACCUUGCCGCAUGGCAGGGUUCCCAAAGGUCCGCCGGUCUGGGAGCAGGCGAUAUCGUAUCAGCUAGUUGGUGAGGUAACGGCUCACCAAGGCGACGACGCGUAGCCGGACUGAGAGGUUGGCCGGCCACAUUGGGACUGAGACACUGCCCAGACUCCUACGGGGGGCUGCAGUAACGAAUCUUCCGCAAUGCACGAAAGUGUGACGGAGCGACGCCGCGUGUGGGACGAAGUUCUUCGGAAUGUAAACCACUGUCAGGGGUUAGAAAGUUCUGAUCAACCCCAGAGGAAGGCACGGCUAACUCUGUGCCAGCAGCCGCGGUAAGACAGAGGUGCCAAGCGUUAGGCGGAAUCACUGGGCUUAAAGCGUGUGUAGGCGGACUUCUAAGUGCCUUGUGAAAUCCCACGGCUCAACCGUGGAACUGCUGGGCAUACUGGGAGUCUUGAGCCACUUAGGGGUCAGCGGAACAAAUGGUGGAGCGGUGAAAUGCGUAGAUAUCAUUUGGAACGCCAUGGUGAAAACAGCUGACUGGGAGUGUGCUGACGCUGAGACACGAAAGCCAGGGGAGCAAACGGGAUUAGAUACCCCGGUAGUCCUGGGCCGUAAACGAUGUCGACUAGAUCGCAGUGCCUCUGACGGCAUUGCGGUCGAAGCAAAGUGCUAAGUCGACCGCCUGG
rnacentral:rRNA from 1 species